GAAAAGAUACAAGGUGAAAUGCAUAAGCCGGUGGAACAUAAAUAAAUUCCGGAAGACAGUAGCCCAAAAGAAGGAGACAUGAUACUAACCAAAAUAACCGAUAAAUUUUAAAACAGUAGACAAGCAAUAUAUAGAGAGACAAUGCAAAUUAGAGUUGGGACUCAUGAUCCAGUAAUUACUCACCACCUUUCCAUAGAAUAAUGUAACAUUGAGGCUGAACUAAGGAGCAAAAAUCUUGAGUGAUAUCCCAACCCUGAAGGGAACAUCACCGAGCUAAACUAGAACAUCAACAUCAGAAACAAUCGCAAUGUCAAAUCUACAACAAAUCCCUCACUAAAUCAUUUUUCAGUUAUAUGCCAUGGG
rnacentral:lncRNA from 1 species